GAUCCAACUUACCAGCAUCUCAGCUAUUUUUCUGUUCAAGCUCGUGUUUGCUUGCGUCAAACGACGAAGACGUGCCACUACCGCUUCAAAUCGUCUUGCUAGCAUCUCUGGGGAAGCCAAGGUUGAUGUAGAAGUUCCCUAGGUAUCAUGAUUUCUCGCCGUCGGGCGGGUGGUACGGUAGGUCCGUUCAGAAGAGUUUGAUGGUGUUUGGAAUAAAGUUGUGUGCUUAUGCUGGCUGCUUCUAUAUUGAUUUUUUAUUUUUAUUUUUUGCUUUUGAUGAAUUGUAGGUUUUAUGUAAGAGUUUCAGUUACGUUGUAUGGUGCAAAAAUGGAUU